CCCAAAUCUGCCCAGAGGAAAUGGUCCUGUUUCUGCAGUCACAGCUGGGUGGUGAAAGGGAGGCUGGAUGUGUGGCAGCCCUGGAUCUGCUCAGUGCUCUGGCUUGCUCUGAUGAGCUUGUGAUGACAAAGAAGCUGCCCCAGGUUGCAGAGGCUGUGCAGCAUCUGUGCAGUGACGCCAGGACCCAGGUGAGGAGGGCCAUUCUGCAUUUCAUCAAUGAUCUGCUCAGCGCUAACACCCAGAGCUGCUCAGAUGGGAUGUGGUGGAGCACAUCUUCAGUGAGUUCAGCUGCACCAUGGGAAGAAGGGCAGUCGGAGACCAUUCUGCCCAGGAAGCCCAAGAAGGAGCUCUCCAAGAGCUGUGAAUGGACAUCCUGGGGUCACUGGAUGUCUCUGUGAGAGGGAUCUCCAAAGUUUCUCCUCCAAAGUGCUCUGAAGAACCCGAGACUCAGGGAAAUUCACAGAGUCCUCUUCAUCUCUGAGUGGAGGCAGGAAUGCUGAUAUGCUCGGCCUUGUUCCUUGUGGCCAUGGUUGCUGCUGUUUGUGGUGCCAGCCCAGUACAUGGGCAUGCUGAUGCUGGUCUCCCACUGUGUCCGAGUCCUGUCUGUGAGAGAGGACCUGACAGGGCAGGAGAUAGAAGAACUGGAUGCCCAUUUCCUCAGCUCCAUGUUUCAAGGCCCACUGCUGACUCCCCAGACACUGCUGGCACACCUGUUCGUUAGGAGAUGCUCCAGAGGCCGGUGCCAUGAGCCCCAAGGAGGAAACAGCAUGGCUGAGCAUGCCAGCACCUGCCUCAUUCCUGGGGAUGCUGUUCUCUUCCCUGGCUUGCAGCACCAUGGGCAAAGCUGUUGGCUGCUCCUUGCCCACCAGGGCAGAGCCAAGCUGCUUCCCUCCUGGGGGGAAGACACUGCUCUUGCUGCAAAGUGACCCUGCUUCUCCUUGCUCUUGCUCAGGUGGUGGCAGGGAGCACUGUUGCAGGCAGAGAACUCCAAGCUGGUGUCUUACUGCUCAUACAAAACCUCUACAGCAAGAUCCACAGAGCUGUGGGGGCCAUAUGAGCUGCUGAGAUCCCCCUGCUGCUGCAGUGCCUUGAAGUUCCUGAGGGCGUCUCUGGAAACCAUGGAGGAUGAGGCCUGGACCGAGGCCCUGAGCUGUGAGCUGAGCCGGUGGCUGAGCAGCUCUCCCAGCAGCUCUGGAGAAAAGUCUUUCCUGUACAAGGCUCUGGGGACAGCACUGGGAGCUUGUAAAGGAGUCCUCCACUUCCAAGAGAUGCUGCUGCAGCACCUGAAGGAAGCAAAUGUGGAGGAGCCAUGUGAGGCCCAGGGACUGAUCUCUCUUCUCAGCCAUGCUGCUGAGAGCAACUUCCACCUAGUCCUGGACACACUCAUCAUGUUUGCAUCCAGGCUGUGCAAAGACCGGAAUGCGAGGAUUUCCAGGCACAAGAAGAUGGAGCUGGACAGCACGAGAGCUCAUGCCACAUGCAGCACUCUCAUGCUCACCCAUGGCAGCUUAGCACGGCAUGCCUCCAAGGAACAACUGCUCGCCCGCCUGGAGGGAGCCACUGUGGGCAACAUCCUGCUGCUCUACAGCUGCAGCUGCCGGGACUUGCAGAACAACCUUGCGCUGGUGCAGAGCAUCACUGACUUCAGCUCUGCCUUCUGAGCUGUGGGUGACUCCGUCUGCAUUAACCCCUCCUUGAAGGGCAAGCUUCUGGAGAUCCUGAUGCAAGCUGAAGCCCUCUUUAGGAAGCAAGGACAUGUGAAAUGUUGACUCUAUGCUGCAAGAACUUUGUGACACACCCUUCAGCGGAGAUGAUGCUGAAGAUCAGGAAGUCACAGCAAGCAGCUCAGUACCGGCAGCUUCUGCAAACAUCGCUGAAAGCUCUGGUCUGGCUCAUGGCAGUCCUGCUCAAGACAGAGACCACCAGUGGCUUCUUCCAGAACAUAGUCCAUGUCCUGCAGAGAUCAAUGACCUCAGACAAUGUGUGGGAGUGCAAGAGGACCCUGCAGGCCUGCUCCCAGCUGCUGGCUGUUUGUGAAGAGCUUCGAAGAGGAGAUGCCUGCGAGCACUUUGGCUCCUUGGUGGGAUUGCUGGCGCCUCUGACGUGUGACCCCAUGCCCACAUCCCACCAGUUGGCAGUCACCUGUCUGAGCUCCCUUCUCUGAAUCCAAGGUGGCCAACGGAGUCAUCGAGACAGGAGACAUGGGGAGCCUGUGUGAGGGGCUGCAUGCCUGCAGCACUCUCUCUCAACUCCAGACUUCGUCCAAAAUUGCGCGGAUUGUGUGCAGAGACUUCCCCCUGGAACACACUGUUGACUUCAUGAUGGCCCUCAAGGAGACCUUCUGGAGAUCCAAAGGAAUGUGUGUGCGUGCUGCUGGCAAGUGGAUGAUCACCCUUCUGCAGAUGUAUGGGAAGGACAUCUGUCAGGACGUGCCACCAAUCCUCCACAUCCUACACAGCUGCACGUCAUGCAUGCAGCAGGGCACGUCCAUGCCUUUCCUGUGCCAGGCUGUGGUCAUCCUCAUCUGCUGUCAUGAAGAGGUCACAAUUGACAACUUCUCCCGGCUGCUUGGGCCCACAGACAGUGAGACAUGGAGGAGAAUAAGAGAGUUUUGUCUUUGAUGGUGGAGCCGAUAGAAGAAAACAGGAAAGAAAGGGGAAGAGGAAGGGGAAGGGG
ensembl:lncRNA